GAUGAACGCUGGCGGCGUGCCUAAUACAUGCAAGUCGAGCGAACAGACGAGAAGCUUGCUUCUCUGAUGUUAGCGGCGGACGGGUGAGUAACACGUGGAUAACCUACCUAUAAGACUGGGAUAACUUCGGGAAACCGGAGCUAAUACCGGAUAAUAUAUUGAACCGCAUGGUUCAAAAGUGAAAGACGGUCUUGCUGUCACUUAUAGAUGGAUCCGCGCUGCAUUAGCUAGUUGGUAAGGUAACGGCUUACCAAGGCAACGAUGCGUAGCCGACCUGAGAGGGUGAUCGGCCACACUGGAACUGAGACACGGUCCAGACUCCUACGGGAAGCAGCAGUAGGGGAUCUUCCGCAAUGGGCGAAAGCCUGACGGAGCAACGCCGCGUGAGUGAUGAAGGUCUUCGGAUCGUAAAACUCUGUUAUUAGGGAAGAACAAAUGUGUAAGUAACUAUGCACGUCUUGACGGUACCUAAUCAGAAAGCCACGGCUAACUACGUG
rnacentral:rRNA from 1 species